AUUGAACGCUGGCGGCAUGCCUUACACAUGCAAGUCGAACGGCAGCGGACCUUCGGGUGCCGGCGAGUGGCGAACGGGUGAGUAAAGUAUCGGAACGUACCUUUCAGUGGGGGAUAACGUAGCGAAAGUUACGCUAAUACCGCAUAUUCUGUGAGCAGGAAAGCAGGGGAUCGCAAGACCUUGCGCUGAUUGAGCGGCCGAUAUCAGAUUAGCUCGUUGGUGAGGUAAAGGCUCACCAAGGCGACGAUCUGUAGCGGGUCUGAGAGGAUGAUCCGCCACACUGGAACUGAGACACGGUCCAGACUCCUACGGGAGGCAGCAGUGGGGAAUUUUGGACAAUGGGGGCAACCCUGAUCCAGCCAUGCCGCGUGAGUGAAGAAGGCCUUCGGGUUGUAAAGCUCUUUCGGCCGGGAAGAAAUCGCUUAGGUUAAUACCCUGAGUGGAUGACGGUACCGGAAUAAGAAGCACCGGCUAACUACGUGCCAGCCGCCGCUGUAAUAC
rnacentral:rRNA from 1 species